UGGUUGUUUUACAUUCCUGUAUCCGUUUACUUUAAUUGGGUUCUGUUAUGUCCGCCAAUCGGGAAAAGGGGCGGGAGCAAGAGACUGGCGGGAACGAGAGACUCUGGCGGGAAAAAAGGAAGACUGGCGGGGAAGGAGAAGCGGACAAGACUGCUCGUCUUGUGAGCGACUGUUUCAAGCCGUGGAGCGGUGAGAAAUGCCAGCGUACCCGGUCAAGAGAGAGAAGCCGGCUGGUGCGGGAGUCGCAGGACUGCUCGUCUUGCGAGGGGCUCGCCACAAGCUGCGGACAGCGGAGAAUCACCAGCACAGCGCUUCGGAGAGGGAGAGUAAAUUCGCCCUACGGGAGGGAAAGACCGUAGGAUGAAGGAAAGAUAUUUGGAGCACGCCUGGAAUUGGGUGGACUGUUUGCGAGUGGAGUGCCAGACCUAAGGUUGAAGGAUUUAGCCUGCUGUCAAGUCCUCCUGGAACGUUACAUCCCCAGUCCUGAGGGUCUGUGCGGAGUGCGUGAAGCCGUGUGCACCCUGAGCCAGCAGAAGCUGCAUGCCAUUGAGGACAGCAUGUACGACAACAUUGACUUCUUCAAGCUCUUCCACUUGCUUCCCAGGGUGCUUGACCACCACACUGCUGGCCCCGAUCUGCGAUCAGAGAAGUUGCACCAGUGCUUGGACCUGGACAAGUUUGUCGGCCUCUCUGUUGAGGGUCAGAUGACGGUCAAAACCCUGGACCUGCAGGGAGAGAACAAGCUCUGGGCUGGACUUGUCUUCCUGGACAUGACCCCUUGGACUUCUGAGUUGCCAGCUCGCAUCAAGUUUAGGAUCCACAUGGACAUCGACUCUGUGGAGAGGACCAAUGAAAUUAAUAACAGAGAAUUCAACCCACUGGUGACGUACUGCUUGAUUUCACAAGCAAAAAUAUUUCAGAUUACCUAGUUAAGACCUACCCUACUCUCAUCAGGACCAGUUUUAAAAUAAAAUUCUGGGUGAAUGAACAAAGGUAUGGAGGAAUCUCUGUUGAUGGGCAACUUCCUGUGCUUAAUGUGAACCCUAAAACCAUGAAGGAUGUUUUGAUCCAGAUGGGGCACAUGCUGAAUAUCACAAGGGUUGGUUCUUGUAUGAGCUGUACAGUGUGAAGAUGCAAAAUAGUGUUUUUGUC